UGCCAAUCCCGGUUUUGCCAGUCCCGGUUUUGCUCUCCCAGCCCCGGCGCUCCCUCAGGCUCGGGAGCGGCGCCUGAGGGGCUCCGGCCGCAGCCGCCAGGGGGCGCCAGGAGCAGCGGCCUCGCGCACGCGCAGUGCCCGCUCCCACCGCCCUGCCCGCGCCGCCUCUUACACCGCGCGGCCGGCGGAGGAGCUGUACAGCCCGGCCGGGAGCACCGGGAGCACCGGGAACACCGCGAGCACCGGCAACACCGGGAACUCCGCGGGCACCGGGAACUCCGCGGGCACCGCGAGCGGCGGUGCCGGACCGCAUGAACCCGGAAGCAGCGGCGCUUCAGCCGCGGCACUGCGCAGGCGCGGGGACAGAAGCGACCAAUCGCAGCCAGCGGCGCGGCGGUGACGUCACAGGGACUGUGAGGGGGCCUGGCUCUGAGAAAAGGCGCCGGAGGAACCGGGAGCGGGUCCGGGAGCGGUUCUGGGUCCGGGAGCGGUUCUGGGGUCCGGGAGAGGGGCCGUGCCCGUGCCGUGGAAGAGCUGGCGCUGUGCUGGUGCCAGGUGAGAUUUCCAGGCUGGAUCUGCUGGAGGGACCUGGAAGAGGCGGCUGUGCUCCUGUUCGUGUCCUGGAGCUGGAGGAAAAGGGUGGAAAUCCGGUCAUGAAUCCUUCCCAAAGGAAGAGUUGGAGGUGGUCAAGAGAAGGAGCUGCUCCAGGCUGUGAUUUAUUCAUGAUGAGUUUCUCCAAACUGUGUUCUGCUGCUGGCUGGCAGCUGCUGCCACACUCCCCACACUUCCAGCAUAUGGAGAGGAGGAAUCCGCAGCCCUGGCCCUGGGCUGGGGUGAAUGUUGUGCUGAUUUACAGCCAGCUGCACGCUGAGGGGUGAGGCAGACACUCUGGUUGGCAUCUGGAUCUCCACAAGCUCAUUAGCAGCUCUGUGCAAGCUGCACUUACCCAGUGUAACCCUGACAGCUUUUUGGGAGGAUUCUGCAGCCUUCAAAGCAGGAGAUAAGACAGGAAUGUUGCAGGAAGGGAGGAUGGUGUGGCUGGGGACACAGCAGAGGCACGCCCAAGCUUGGAAGAGAAGGAAAUCUCCAUGUGCUGCUGGAGGCUCUCUCUGACAAGGCACACGCCUCUGAUCAUCCCUGAUCCCCUCCUUGAUCACUGGAGUUGCUGCCCGAGCUGCCUGCACAGCUCUGUGACGUCCCUGUGUUCUCAGGGAGUGCCACCCUGGGCAGUGGGAGGUGUCCCUGCCCAUGGCAGGGCUAGAACUGAUGGGCUCUAAGGUGUUUCCAAACCAAACCAGUCUGGGAUUUGGUAAUUAAUGACUUUGUGCUAAUUACCCAGAGCAGCACUGGCACAAAGACUUCAUGCCCUCGGCACGCCUCACCUUCUGCAGAGGAUUUUGCUGAUUUUUGGGGUGUUGGAAGGACUGAGUGCUACACACAAGGCAAUGCUGCAUUAAUGUUAUUUAAAAAUAACAUUUAUUGAUACCCUGCAGUCAGAGUGGGAUCAAGGAGACAGAGGAAGGCCUGGCUGGUGACUUUUCCUGGUUUAAAAUUGCCCAGAGCUCUAAAGGUGCCUCACUUCCCUGGGCACGGAUAGGUGGGAGCACUGACAGCCCUCUGUGCCUGUGUGAAACACCUUCCUGCUCAUUUUGUGGCUCUCUGUUCCAUAAAGGAAAUGGAAAUGUUCAAUGUGUGAACAAAACCCUUCAGUGAAGGCAGGGAGAGCCUUGGAACAGAGAGUCCUGGCCUUGGCUGAGCCCUGAGUACAGCUUUGCUCAGAGCAGGGAACCCCAGGCUGCUUUUUGUACCCAUUUUACACCAAAUGGUUCGGUCUCUGAGUUUUGGCAGCUCGGUUUGGGGUUUUUCUCCUUGACUGUAAGGAUUCUGUGGAGUCACUGGUUUGUUUCAGAGCACUACUGGAGCCAAUUAAACAAUACUUGGUGGUGAA